rnacentral:tRNA from 1 species
AUUAAAGCCAUAACUCUGAAGAUGUUAAGAUAGGCCUUAAAAAGCCUCGAAAGC